GACGAACGCUGGCGGCGUGCUUAACACAUGCAAGUCGAACGGAAAACCUCUUCGGUGGGGGGCUGCGCGGAAGGCGAACGUGAGAGGAAGACGACAUUCCCCUGCCCUUGGCUUAAGUAUAAGUUCAGGAAGCUAAUGCCAAUAGCUCACCGCUUCCCGCGCUGGAGGGGGUGGGUAGGAAUUUUUGGGCGGGUGGGGAUGGACGCGCGGCUUAUCAGCUUGUUGGUGGGGUAGUGGCAUACCAAGGCUGUGACGGGUAGCCGGCCUGAGAGGGUGACCGGCCACACUGGGACUGAGAUACGGCCCAGACUCCUACGGGAGGCAGCAGUGGGGAAUAUUGCGCAAUGGGCGGAAGCCUGACGCAGCAACGCCGCGUGGGGGAUGACGGCCUUCGGGUUGUAAACCGCUUUCGGCUGUGACGAAGCGCGAGUGACGGUAAUGGGUGAAGAAGCACCGGCUAACUACGUG
rnacentral:rRNA from 1 species